UACGGGAAGCAGCAGUGGGGAAUAUUGCACAAUGGGCGCAAGCCUGAUGCAGCCAUGCCGCGUGUAUGAAGAAGGCCUUCGGGUUGUAAAGUACUUUCAGUCGUGAGGAAGGUGUUAAGGUUAAUAACCUUAGCAAUUGACGUUAGCGACAGAAGAAGCACCGGCUAACUCCGUGCCAGCAGCCGCGGUAAUACGGAGGGUGCGAGCGUUAAUCGGAAUUACUGGGCGUAAAGGGCACGCAGGCGGUUAAUUAAGUUGGAUGUGAAUCCCCGGGCUUAACCUGGGAAUGGCAUUCAAGACUGGUUAGCUAGAGUCUUGUAGAGGGGGUAGAAUUCCAUGUGUAGCGGUGAAAUGCGUAGAGAUGUGGAGGAAUACCGGGUGGCGAAGGCGGCCCCUGGGACAAAGGCUGACGCUCAUGUGCGAAAGCGUGGGGAGCAAACAGGGAUUUAGAUACC
rnacentral:rRNA from 1 species